AUGUUCCGCGGAGCCCUCGCGGGAUCCUACCGCGGACACNCUACCGNGCGCCGAUGUCCGACGCUCGUCGUCGUGCACUUCUCCCCUAGUAGGANGUCGCGACCCGCUGGGUGUCGGUCUACGGCCCGGGUGCGGUGACUGUCGCGUCGCCGGUAAAACGGCACGCGGCAAACCCCCGGUCGCCCGACCGNCUGCCCGGCGGUACACGCAUGGUAUCAGGCCGCAACGUGCGCGUCGCAAGACGCGCNCGCGUGCGUCGGGACCGUCGCAAGCGCGNGCCACCNUACUCGGAGGUUACGGACCUAGCGCCGUCCCCGGUUCUGGCCCGCUGUUGGUCGUACGGAACUCCUUCGACAGGCCUGCGAAAUGUAA
rnacentral:rRNA from 1 species